rnacentral:rRNA from 1 species
UACGUAGGGUGCGAGCGUUAAUCGGAAUUACUGGGCGUAAAGCGUGCGCAGGCGGUUUUGUAAGCCAGGUGUGAAAUCCCCGGGCUCAACCUGGGAAUGGCAUUUGGGACUGCAAGGCUGGAGUGCGGCAGAGGAGACUGGAAUUUCCGGUGUAGCGGUGAAAUGCGUAGAUAUCGGAAGGAACACCUGUGGCGAAAGCGGCUCACUGGACCAUUACUGACGCUGAGGCACGAAAGCUAGGGGAGCAAACAGG